GCGGGAGUAGCUCAGUGGUAGAGCACCACCUUGCCAAGGUGGCCGCCGCGGGUUCGAGUCCCGUCUCCCGCUCCA
rnacentral:tRNA from 1 species